GUUGUAGCUCAGUGGUAGAGCACUUGCCUGGCAUGCUCGGGGCUCUGGGUUCGAUCCUCAGCCACA
rnacentral:tRNA from 1 species